AAUCAUUGUUAGAUAUCGAGUCUUUAGAGAAUAUAUACUAUUUUAGAUCAAAAACAAUCAAAAUAAAAUUUUCGCCACAUAGGGGUAUUUUGGUCAUUUUUUUCUCAAAAAUUUCAAAACUGGCUAAAACGUAAUAUACAAGUACAAAAUACAUAAUUCAUAUUCAAAAUGAGUUUAAAAGUCUAAAAUCUUCAUUUAAAACGAAAUUACGAUUAUUUGAAUAAAAUAAGAAAAUAAAAGAAAUAUUAAGGGAAAUAUUCUAUUUUCUUAUAAAACAAUAUUUAUAAAGUUAUACGUGAAUAAUUUUUAUAGCGUAAAAGCUAAAUAAAUUUAUACAUACUGAAAUACAGUAAGCCAAAAUAUUUAAUUUAAUUUACAAUAACAAGAGGGCCCCCGAAU
rnacentral:lncRNA from 1 species